rnacentral:rRNA from 1 species
UACGAAGGGGGCUAGCGUUGCUCGGAAUGACUGGGCGUAAAGGGCGCGUAGGCGGUGGACACAGUCAGGCGUGAAAUUCCUGGGCUCAACCUGGGGGCUGCGUUUGAUACGUGUUUGCUAGAGUGGGGAAGAGGGUCGUGGAAUUCCCAGUGUAGAGGUGAAAUUCGUAGAUAUUGGGAAGAACACCGGUGGCGAAGGCGGCUCUCUGGACCGUAACUGACGCUGAGGCGCGAAAGCGUGGGGAGCAAACAGG